UUGGGUUUAGCUCAGUGGUAGAGCACUUGCCUAGCAAGCACAAGGCCCUGGGUUCGGUCCCCAGCUCUGAAA
rnacentral:tRNA from 1 species